CCCUUAGAUGUUCUGGGCCGCACGCGCGCUACACUGAUGCAUUCAACGAGCACCCGCUGGGCCGAGAGGUCCGGCUAAUCUUUGAACGUGCAUCGUGCUGGGGAUAGAUGAUUGCAAUUAUUCAUCUUCAACGAGGAAUUCCUAGUAAACGCAAGUCAUCAGCUUGCAUUGAUUACGUCCCUGCCCUUUGUACACACCGCCCGUCGCACCUACCGAUUGAAUGGUCCGGUGAAUAUUUUGGACAGUCGAGCGUAUCGGUUCGCCGGUGUGCUUGUACUGGAAAUCAAGUGAACCUUAUUGCUUAGAGGAAGGAAAAGUCGUAACA
rnacentral:rRNA from 1 species